AGUAAACGCACAUAUCUUAUUUUAACACAUUCACAAGCUUACGUAAUUGAAGAACACCAAUAGUGUAAUUUACUAAUAGUGUUUUCAUUUAGAUUGACAUAUUGGCGAAACAAGAAGUGCAUAAAGAAACGUCAUACAUUGAUUACCAAGUACAUAUAAGUUCACAAUAACGAUAAAAAUCUAAACUUGGUUUUCUUAAUUAUUAUUUUUCUUUUAUUAGUUAUUUUUUCCCAUCCUCCUAGAUGGAUUUCUUAGUAAGAUAGUCGAGUGAACAAAUAGUUCAUAAGAAACAUAUAUCACCAAGUACGUAUAUGGUCUGUAAUUGGCUUCCUUAUUAUUAGUUUUUCCUUUAUUAUUCAAACUUUCCCUCCUCCUGGGCAUGGGAUUACGGUAAUACCGCCCCUUAUAACCGUAUUAUUCCGUGCCGGCCUUUGUACAACUGCCUGAAAAAAUGCAUAUCCCCGAGCAAACCUAAACGAUUUGGUGCCACCAACUACUGGAACUUCUCACGCCGUACCACCAACUUGUAAGUUAUAUCCUGGUCCUUGGAAUUCCAAUGUGCUACCGUUGUAUUGGAAGUUGGAGAAAAGGAGGGAAAAUACGCCCUGUGAGCUUGAUCCAUAACGGGAUGAAGCUAUAUAAAUGCCUUGGGCCCGACCAAUAGUUGGACAAUUGUUGCUGAUGCCUUGUGUCAUGUUAGCAUCAUUAACAAUAAUGGUUCCAAAAUUGGAGGGAGUUCUCGGCAUACCAGGGGCGCCGGCAACUGCAACACUGGUGGUAUUUGGUCCGCCCGUAAACAGUUGAAUGUACACAGUAAUAUUUGUUUCCUUUCCACGGCAGCAACGGCAAGAAGAUUAGCUUCUGAACAAACAAAAAUUGCUAGUAAUAGGGCAAGGGAAAUUUGGAUGGAUGCUAAAGCUGAACCUUUUGCCAUCUUGUAUGUUGAAAGGCUAGCUGAAAAACAAAGAAGGAAGAAAGAAAUUAGUUAAAUGGUGAAGAUAAUUUGUUCAAUGACCGUAUUUAUAGGAUGGAGGAGGUAGCAGUUGCAAAUGGUUAUAGUAGAACAAUUAAAUCAAUCUUGACUUUUGAUUUCUCCACAUACAAAUGGUUUAAAUGAAAUAAUAUUACAUUGCAAAGAGUUAGGUAUAGUACAAAAAGUUUUAAAAGACAAUUAAACAUCAAUGGGUGGCCACCUAUCACAAUAGGUGAGUCUAAUGGUGUGGUGUACUCAGCAGAUAUAUCAUUCAAAGUUCAGAGCCAAGAAUUUCUUUUGAUAUAUAGUGGGAUAAUGGAAAAACUUGAAAACAUGAAACACAUUUCCCUAAAAAAAAUGAAACACAUUCAAUAAGGUUCUGGAAAAGGAUUAACUCCACUCUGCAUUUUCAAACUUGUACCACUUUAACAAGGUUCCGAACAUACACUCAGUAGAUAAAUCAAUGUUGACUUUUGAUUUUUCUGCAUAUAAAUGUUUUAAAUGAAAUAGGAUUGCAUUUGCAAGAGUUAGGUAGAGCAUAAAAAGUUUUAAAAGAGAAUUAAACCUCAAUGGGUGGCCAACUAUCAGAGUAGGUUAGUGUAGAAUGGUGUGGUAUACACGGUAGAUAUAUCAUUCAAAAUUCAUAGUUAAGAAUUUCUUUUAGUGAUGGUAAUCCAGGAGGGUGCCCGCGGGCAAACGGGGCCGGGGAGGGACGGAGAAUUUUUUCCCACAUUAAAAAACGGGGCAGCCGGCGAGGGAGUAUACCCCCAUCCCAUCCCCUGCCCCAUCACUCGUUAAAAACAAUUAAAUUUAUAUGUUAUAAUUAUAUAUGUGAUAUUUAAUUUAAUUAGUUUCAAAUUUAUAAUAAUGGUAUUAUUAGUUAUAAGUAUUAUAUAAUGUAUAUUAGUAUUUGUAAUAUAAUUGAUAUUAUCAAAUGCUAAUAAUUAUACAUGUCUACUAAUAGAAAUUGUUACUUAGUUAUAUCAAAUUUACUAAUACAUUUAUACUAAAUUCCUAAUUAUACUUAACACAAUAACACUUUUUUUCUCAAAAAAUUCACACAACAAUGAUUUAGUGAUUGUAUUUCUAUCAAAAGUGAAAACUUGACUACUUUAGUUGUGUUUGUUUCAUCAUAUUGGAUUGUAUUUAAAUAACUUUUGUUUGAUUGUUUUUGUGACUUACAAUUGUGAAAUUACAAUGAAUAAUGAUUUGGUGAUGUGUUGGCAUUUAAGUAUUUGAUCCUCUGGUCAAAUUUGACUAUAAUGAAAUUGUAUGACAAAUUUUUAUUCGCCCUGUGGGUGUGCCCAUAGGGAAGCGGGGCAAGGCGGGGACGAGGUAGGGGAGGAGUCCCCCGUCUAACCCCCACCCCAUUGCCAUUCCUAAUUUCUUUUGCUAUAUAGUGUAAUAAUGGAAACCUUGAAAACUUGAAACACAUUUACCAAAAAAAAAUGAAAUACAUUUAACAGGGCUCCGAAAAAUGACUAACUCCACUUUGUACCUUCGAAUUUGUAUCGGUUUAACAAUGUUCCAAACUUAUACUCAAGAGAUACAUCAAACUUGACUUAAUGGUUUAAAUGAAAUAAGAUUACAUUUCAAGGAGUUUGGUAGAGCAUAAAAAGUUUUAAAAGAGAAUCAAACCUCAAUGGGUGGCCACCUAUCAAAGUAGGUUUGUGUAGAAUAGUGUGGUAUACAUAGCAGAUAUAUCAUUCAAAGUUCAGAGUCAAGAAUUUCUUUUGCUAUAUAUAUAUAGUGAGAUAAUGGAAAGCCUUGAAAUCUUGAAACACUUUUACCUAAAAAACAAAUUACAAAACAAUGAAACACAUUUCACAAGGUUCUAGAAAGAAUUAACUCUGCUUUGCACCUUCGAACUUCUACCACUUUAAUAAGGUUCCGAAUUUACAUUGAGUAGCUAAAUCAAUCUUGACUUUUGAUUUUUCUCCAUAUAAAUGGUUUGAAUGAAAUAUGAUUACAUUUCUAAGAGUUAGGUAGAGCGUAAAAAGUUUUAAGAGAGAAUUCAAUAUAAAUGGAUAGCCACCUAUGAAAGUAGGUUUGUAUAGAAUGGUAUACUUUGCAGAUGUGUCAUUCAAAGUUGAUAGUCAAGAAUUUCUUCUGUUGUAUUGUGGGAUAAUGGACAACCUUAAAAACUUGAAACAAAAUUACCUAAAAAAAAAACAAGGAAACACAUUUAAUAAGGUUUUGGAAAAGGAUUAACUUAACUUUGCAUCUUCGAACUUAUCCCACUUUUUCAUUUUAUACUUUAAAUUUUAAUUUUGAACACUUUGCACCCUAAGCUUUACUUUCACCUUUUAGUCUGGGGCCAUUCAUGUUUGCAAAUUGCAUAAGAGCCACUCAUUUUCUUGUUAGUUACGUGUAGUAAAAGGCUUUUAGCAUCCUCACAUUAAAAAAUUAAUUUAAAAAAAUGUCCAAGUAUAGGCUUCAAUUUUGUAGUUGAAAUUGAAAAUGUUCACAAAUGUUUAGCUAUUUAAACGCCAUAUAGCUAGGCUUCCAACCUCCUAACCCUAAAAUUUAGGGGGUUUGGGGGGAAAGGGAGGGUUGGAUGAAGAACAGAGAUUGAAAUAAUAAAUCUUUUGUAGCCUUCAUUAAGACAUUGAUCGAACAAGAGAAUGUCUGACGAGAAAUUAGAAUGAAACAAAUACCUUAAUUGCCCUAACGAAGUGCAAUUGAAUAUAGAUCUCGAGAAUGUAAUUUCUGUUGAUUUCUAUGUAGCUGGUUGUUGUACAAUUUGUCUUAAGAGACAAUCAAAUACCCCCAAAAUUCGCCGAAUUCCUAACAGUUCACAUAUCUUUUGGAGUCGAAUUACAAGUCUACGUAUGUCUCCCCUAUUUAGAGGUAAAAAUAAUAAAAAAAAAACUCAAAAAUUGACUUUCCUGAUAAUAUGUUUUUGCUCCGUCCAAUCCACAUAGGUUUAUAUACGAUUCAGCAUUAAAAUUGAAGAAAAGCUCAAAAGUUGACUUUCCCGAUUUAUAAGGAAUUGACUAACUAUUUUGUGGCCAAACCAUUAUCCAUCUUGACCAUCUAAAUGGUGAAUUGCACUUUAAGCUUAAUGCUCAACAAAACAGAAGUUCUUAACCAUGUUAAGGAAAAAUAGAUGGAAAGGUCUUUUGUCACCUUUUGUUAGUUGUGGUAGUUAUAUAGCAGAAGGAUUACCAUUUGUUAAACUGAGUAAAAGAUUAUUUUUCAUAAAGCAAGUUCGAUGUACAUCAUAUGUAAAACAAAAGUUAUGAACAAUAAAGACUACCUUACAAUAAGACUUGGUGUACAAUUAUCAGUUCAAGCGAAUUCCACAAUUAGGUGAAGAUUUUAUCUAAGUUUCAAUACACAUCUUUAUUAGUAAACGCACAUAUCAUAUUUUAACACAUUCACGAACAUACGUAAUUGAAGAACACCAAUAGUGUAAUUCACAAGCUUACGUAAUGCGAAGCCAAGUGUAAUUGAAGAACACCAAUAGUGUUUUUAUUUAGAUGGACAUAUUGACGAAACAAGAAGUGCAUGAAGAAACGUCAUACAUUGAUUACCAAGUACACCUAAGACCACAAUAACGAUAAAAAUCUAUACUUUGUUUUCUUAUUUAUUAUUUUUCUUUUAUUAGUUAUUUUUUCCCAUCCUCCUUGAUGGAUUUCUUAGUAAGAUAGUCGAGUGAACAAGUAGGUCAUAAGAAACAUAAAUCACCAAGUACGUAUAUGGCCUGUAAUUGGCUUUCCUUAUUAUUAGUUUUUCCUUUAUUAUUCAAAAUUUCCCUCCUCCUGGGCAUGAGAUUACGGUAAUAUCGCCCCUUAUAACCGUAUUAUUCCGUGCCGGCCUUCGUAGAACUGUCUGAAAAAAUGCAUAUCCCCGAGCAAACCUAAACGUUUUGGUGCCACCAACUAUUGGAUCUUCUCUCGCCGGACUACCAACUUGUAAGUUAUAUCCUGCUCCUUGGAAUUCCAAUGUGCUACCGUUGUAUUUGAAGUUGGAGAAAAUGAGGGAAAAUAUGCCCAGUGAUCUUGAUCCAUCACGGGAUGAAGCUAUCUCAAUGCCUUGGGCCCGACCAAUAGUUGGAGAAUUGUUGCUGAUGCCUUGUGUUAUGUUAAAAUCAUUAACAAUAAUGGUUCCAAAAUUGGAGGGAGUUCUCGGCUUACCAGGGGCGCCGGCAACUGCAACACUGGUGGUAUUUGGUCCGCCCGUAAACACUUGAAGGUACACAGUAAUAUUUGUUUCCUUUCCACGGCAGCAAUAGUAAGGGUCAAGACGAUUAGCUUCUGAACAAACAAAGAUUGCUAGUAAUAGCACAAGGGAAAUUUGGAUGGAUGCUAAAGCUGAACCUUUUGCCAUUUUGUAUGUUGAAAGGCUAGCUGAAAAACAAAGAAGGAAGAAACAAAAUAGUUAGAUGGUAAAGAUAAUUUGUUCAAUGACCGUAUUUAUAGGAUAGAGGAGGUAGCAGUUGCAAAUGGUUAAAGUAGAACAAUUAAAUCAAUCUUGACUUUUGAUUUUUCUACAUAUAAAUGGUUUAAAUGAAAUAAUAUUACAUUUCAAAGAGUUAGGUAUAGCACAAAAAGUUUUAAAAGACAAUUAAACAUCAAUGGGUGGCCACCUAUCACGAUAGGUUUGUGUAAUGGUGUGCUGUACUCAGCAGAUAUAUCAUUCAAAGUUCAGAGCCAAGAAUUUCUUUUGAUAUAUAGUGGGAUAAUGGAGAACCUUGAAUACAUGAAACACAUUUCCCUAAAAAAAAAUGAAAUACAAUCGAUAAGGUUCUGGAAAAGGAUUAACUCCACUCUGCAUUUUCAAACUUGUACCACUUUAACAAGGUUCCAAACAUAUACUCAGUAGAUAAAUUAAUGUUGACUUUUGAUGUUUCUGCAUAUAAAUGGUUUAAAUGAAAUAGGAUUGCAUUUGCAAGAGUUAGGUAGAGCACAAAAACUUUUAAAAGAGAAUUAAACCUCAAUGGGUGGCCACCUAUCAUAGUAGGUUAGUGUAGAAUGGUGUGGUAUACACGGCAGAUAUAUCAUUCAAAAUUCAUAGUUAAGAAUUUCUUUUAAUGAUGGUUAUCUAGGAGGGUGCCAGCGGCCAAACGGGGCUCGGGGGGAGGAAGAAUUUUUUCCCCCAUUAGAAAACGGGGUAGCCGGAGAGGGAGUUUACACCCACCCCAUCCCCUGCCCCAUCACCCGUUGAGAAAAAUUAAAUAUAUAUGUAUAUAAUUAUAUAUGUGAUAUUUAAUUUAAUUAGUUACAAAUUUAUAAUAAUGAUAUUAUUAGUUAUAAGUAUUAUAUAAUUUAUAUUAGUAUUUGUAAUAUUAUUGAUAUUAUCAAAUGCUAAUAAUUAUACAUGUCUACUAAUAAAAAUUAUUAAUUAGUUGUAUCAAAUUUACUAAUACAUUUAUACUAAAUUCCUAAUUACACUUAACACAAUAACACUUCUUUUCUCAAAAAAUCACACAACAAUGAUUUAGUGGUUGUAUUUGUAUCCAAAGUGAAAACUUGAUUACUUUAGUUGUGUUUGUUUCAUCAUAUUGGGAUGUAUUUAAAUAACUCUUGUUUGAUUGUUUUUAUGACACACAAUUGUGAAAUUACAAUGAAUAAUGAUUUGGUGAUGUGUUGGCAUUUAAGUAUUUGAUCCUUUGUUCAAAUAUGACUACAAUGAAAUUGUAUGACAAAUUUUUAUUCGCCCUGUGGGUGCGCCCAUAGGGGAAGCGGGGCAAGGCGGGGACGGGGUUGGGGAGGAGUCCCCUGUCUAACCCCCACCCCAUUGCCAUUCCUAAUUUCUUUUGCUAUAUAGUGUAAUAAUGGAAACCUUGAAAACUUGAAACACAUUUACCAAAAAAAAAAAAUGAAAUACAUUUAACAGGGCUCCGAAAAAUGACUAACUCCAUUUUGCACCUUCGAAUUUGUACCGGUUUAACAAUGUUCCAAACUUAUACUCAGGAGAUAAAUCAAACUUGACUGUUGAUUUUUCUGCAUAUGAAUGGUUUAAAUGAAAUAAGAUUACAUUUCAAAGAGUUUGGUAGAGCAUAAAAAAGUUUUAAAAGAUCGUUAAACCUCAAUGGGUGGCCACCUAUCAAAGUAGGUUUGUGUAGAAUGGUGUGGUAUACAUAGCAGAUAUGUCAUUCAAAGUUCAGAGUCAAGAAUUUCUUUUGCUAAAUAUAUAGUGAGAUAAUGAAAAACCUUGAAAUCUUGAAACACUUUACCUAAAAAACAAAUUACAAAACAAUGAAACACAUUUCACAAGAUUCUGGAAAAGAAUUAACUCCGCUUUGCACCUUCGAACUUCUACCACCUUAAUAAGGUUCCGAACUUACAUUGAGUAGCUAAAUCAAUCUUGACUUUUGAUUUUUCUGCAUAUAAAUGGUUGAAAUGAAAUAUGAUUACAUUUCUAAGAGUUAGGUAGAGCGUAAAAAGUUUAAAGAGAGAGUUCAAUAUAAAUGGGUAGCCACCUAUGAAAAUUGGUUUGUAUACAGUGGUAUACUCAGCAGAUGUAUCAUUCAAAGUUGAUAGUCAAGAAUUUCUUCUGUUGUAUUGUGGGAUAAUGGAAAACCUUAAAAACUUGAAACAAAAUUACCUGAAAAAAAAAAAACAAGGCAACACAUUUAAUAAGGUUCUAGAAAAGGAUUAACUUGACUUUGCAUCUUCGAACUUAUCCCACUUUUAAUUUCAUUUUGUACCCCAAAUUUUAAUUUUGAACACUUUGCACCCUAAGCUUUAAUUUCACCUUUUAGUCUGAGGCCAUUCAUGUUUGCAAAUUGCAUAAGAGCCACUCAUUUUCUUGUUGGUUACGUGUUGUAAUAGGCUUUUAGCAUCCUCUCAUUAAAAAAUUAAUUUAAAAAAAUGUCCAAGUAUAGGUUUCAAUUUUGUAGUUGAAAUUGAAAAUGUUCACGAAUGUUUAGCUAUUUACACGCCAUAUAGGCUUCCAACCUCCUAACCCUAAAAUUUAGGGGGUUUGGGGGGAAGGGGAGGGUUGGAUGAAGAGCAGAGAUUGAAAUAAUAAAUCUUUUGUAGCGUUCAUUAAGACAUUGAUCGAAUAAGAGAAUGUCUGAAGAGAAAUUGGAAUGAAACAAAUAUCUUAAUUGCACUAGAGAAGUGCAAUUGAAUAUGGUUCUCGAGAAUGUAAUUUCCGUUGAUUUCUAUGUAGCAGAUUGUUGUAAAAUUUGUCUGAAGAGACAAUCGAAUACCCCCAAAACUCGCCGAAUUCCUAACAGUUCACAUAUCUUUUGGAGUCGAAUUACAAGUCCACGUAUGUUUCUCCACCCUUGUGAUCAUCCCCCAGAAUACACAAUUUGACAAGAAACUCAAUCUGACCGCAUUGAAACUGGACAAUUGGGAUGCAGGACUUGAAGAAUCUUUUUCUACAUAAAACAUCUUAUAUGAUGUUCUUUUAGCCAUUUCAGUUACCUCAUACCAACUACUCAAACAUGAAAGCAUUAGAAGGGACAGGAGAGCAAGUAUUAAAAGCCACAAUCAGUCAAUGCACAUCAUUUUCUUACAAAUUAGUAUAUUUAAAGAGCUAUUGGAAAAUGACACUAUCUAAGCACAAGAAAAACUGAUUAUGAUUUCAUCAAUAAUCACAGCUUUCAAUGGAGCUGUCAAAGAAGAAUUGCAACCUCUUAUUGAUGAAUUUAUUGAAAUAGGUAAACUACUAAAGAAAACGACUUUAAAUCUAGAGGAGAUAUGAUACCUUCAUAAAAGUUCAUCCUCCACUUUUGUGAAGACCAAUAAAUAGGGUAAAGUGAGCAAAAAAUUACAAUAAAACUGGCAAGGGGAAAAAGCGAGAGAACACCAAAACAUCAAAACGUACCUUCAAGACUGAAUGAAGAAAAGUAGCUUCCUUUUUCCUUUGCUCCUUCAUCUAACAAAAAUUUAGAAUAAAUAAAUGUCAACAAAAUCAAAUUUAUUGGGAAAAAGAAAAUAAAAAUGACAUUAGAUUAACUUUUUCUAGGGAAAAAGAAAUAGAGAGCCUAAACAAUCUCAUCUUCAAAAAAGAAUUUACAAAUCUUAAUAUCUCAACCUAUUACAAACAUUUGAAACUUAUUGGAGCAUAGAUAAUUAAUAUGUUAGAACAUCAAAUCUAGCAUAGGGGAUGCGAGACCACAAUAGGAAACAAAACAAUAGUAAUAAAGCCUGAGGAUUAGCAAGAAGAGAAGAAAUUGUGUUCCCCAAACAAUAACCAGCAUUCAGCACUAAACAUCUGAAUGCAUUUUCAAUUUUUCAAAUCCAGCUCAUACUAAUGCAAUACUUAUUCAAGCAAAAUAGAUUAGUUUGUAAUGCCAGCAGAUAACAAAGGACCUAAAAGUCAAAAUAUCAAAUUGUUAAACCUUGAAAACUUACAAAGUUACUUUUUGUUGUCCGCUUAUGUGGUGACUGCAUCUUUAUGUACCUUGAAUAUCAAGAACAUGACUGGCAAGUGUGAGAGAAUGAGUCCCAAGAAUAUGCCAAUCAGGUCAUAUUCUGCCACCACCUUCACUUCCAAUAUUACAUGCUCAACCUGAAAUUUUGCAGGAUUAAAGAAUUUAAAUCAUCUUCUCAAUCAGAAAUUACACAAAUUAACAGCAAAGUUUAAACAACAAAAAAGGUCAUAUUCUGCUAAAAUAUAAAUAUAAUGUGGCAUAUAAAGGAGAGGUAACAAUUUUAAGCAUUCAUUAGUCAACCUUUCUUAACUUCCUAGACAUUAGACAUUGACUAAAUAGUUGAUUGCACAAUAUAAACAACUACAAUAUGUAUCCAUAUGUAAAACAAUGUAAUAACUAUUAUUUGUGUCAGCAAAAUGACACCAUAAAUACAAAAACAAUCUAAAACAAAAUUAAGUCCAAAAGAAAAGUCAUGCAAAAAAGUCAAAACAAUUACAGCAAUUUUUUUGUCCCACUGUUAAUUCAACCAAGACUUGGUACAAGAUGAAAACAAUAUUUGGCAUCAAGGACACUACAAGAUGAAAAUGUAAAUUAUUAAGAUUAAAUGUAAAUGAUUAUGAACAUCCACUUGAUAAAAAAUGAGGAACUAAGAUACAAAGGACAUCUCGAUGUUUCAGGGAAAAUGAAGUUCUGCUUAAUAGAGCUUAGAGUCAUAAAGAUAUAAGCCGAAUCAUUGGAAACGCUAGCAUUACCAAAAGUUGUCCUUCCUUUUCGCCUAUCCUAAUAACUUAUCCCCAAUCCAGAUAGGCAGUUUGUGGAGUGUCAUUACUAGCACCAAUCCUUUUGAUCAUCUACUAAUGCAUUCUAAGUUUUUAGGAAUUGCACUAAUAAAGAUAUUACAUUAGUAACAAACAUAGUCAUCCAACGCACAGAAAACCAUAAUGCAUAAUACCUUCCAAUUAUGUGAAAUUUACCAUUUUGAAAUGGUUCUCAGAAAAACUCAAUAUUUUCACCUGCAAACCCAGAAAAAAGGAUAUUAUUCACAUAAAUAAAAAAAAAGGAAAAGUGCAGAAAAUUUCAAAUAGUGGAAGCCAAAGGCUGAGAAAUAUAUGCAUUGAAUUUGAGAAGGAGAAACACCUAGAUUUAACACUCCAACCAUCAAAAAAGUCAAUGAAUUUCAUCAUUCAUAUGGAAAGGAAUUCAGCUAUUACUCCAAAUAUCUUAAUUAGAUCGACAGCUUUUGCUGCACCAGAAUUCACUGUUAAGCCUCUAAUGUAAAAUUUAAUAGGGAUACUAUGAGUUAUAUCAGGUUUCACCUUUGUACUCUCCAACAAGUUUCUUUUAUUUAAGAAAAAAGACAAUUAAAUGCAUGUUAAAUCAUAGCAAAAUGAUCUGAUACUCAAAUAAAAAAAUAGAGAAAGGUGAACUGCAAAACAACGAUUUUUUCACUUUUAGCUAUGUAACAAAAAAUGUGAAAGGCAAAAAAAAAGUGUGCUUUCAACGUGAAUUUUGACAAUAUUAUCUAUCCCAGAUGUAAAUAGUCAAGUCCAUAAAUUGUUAAUUAGGCAUACAACAAAACAAACUAUUGAUAACUUUUAAUUCGAGCAUGUUACCUCAUGCAAUUCACAUUGAACUCAUCUAGAGUAAAGUUCAUUAAUCUUAGUGCCUCUAGAGAAUUGCCGUCACUAACUCUUUAAGCUUCAUAGUCGUCUAGCUCAAUCAAACUAAAAAAGAAUUAAGCUGAACAAAUUAGUCAAGUAAAAAAAAGGAUUAAAAGAACAAAACAGAAACCAUUUCUACAGGUAUAGAGAUACAAGAGAUUUUGAGCUACUAACUAAAAAGAAAAGGGAAAAACUAUAACAGUGUAGCAAUGUGAUACAUUUCCUAGUCAGGGGGUAUGCAAUUUAAAGUUGUUUAGAAACUGUUCAUCGUAAUAUUCCAUCCAUAUUUGAUUUUGGAGAUUUUCCUUGUAUUUUAUGUGCAUGCAGGUCAAUUUUACUUCUUCCACUUGUAGUUCAAAUUUCUUUGACAACAGUGCCAGCCGACCUUCAGAAUGGUACUUUUUCAAGUCAACAUAGACGUAUUACACCAGUGACAAAAACUUCUCAUACGGAAAUAUUGGUGGAGUUUUGAUCAAGAUAAGCAGAAUCAAAACAUCAAGGCACCACAGAUUGCCUAAAAAAAAAAAAAACCUGCUAUAGCCGGAUAAUGCUCAAAACAAGAAAUAGCAAAGUCACUAAGCACUAAAUUUGGAGUAAUUUACCUAACCCUAACAGUUAACGAAAAAAGUUCCCUACUUGCUCCUUUCUCUGGCAAAUACUUGAUCCAUUCUCUAACAAAAAAAAAAUGGGCAACAAAACUUGGUUAAAUAAAAUCAUAGAAUGUUUAUAGCACAACAACACUAUGGUUCAAGUGAUUUUUCCAUCAUCCCUUCAACCAUCAUAACUGUAGACACUCAAGAAUAAGAGACAAAAAAUAUUCCGAUGGAUCUGAGAGACUUUAGAGAUAGUUACAAAAAGAAAAAAAAAAAGGUCUUAUCAAAGAAAAAAACCUUGAGUAGAACAUACCUCCGAAGAAAAAGAAUAAAACCAAGUACAUCUGCAAGCCAUUUGUUCUUAUCUCAGAGAAAACAAAAAGAGGGAACAAAAAAAAAAAGGAAAUAAAAAGGUCAGAAAAAAUAAAAAUAAGACCGAGGCCUACAAAAUAACAAGAUAAUUAUGGGAAAAAAAUACAUGAAAUUGUUUGGCAUCACACAAGAGCAAAUAGACAAAGAAAAAAACCUGAUAUGAUGAGAUUCAUCUUCAGCCUCCAAGAGAAAUACGGGGGUGGGAAGUGGACAAAUAGUGAAAAAAUAUAGGGAAAAAAUAGCGAAGAGAGGUCUUGCAGAAGAGUAAAAUGAGAAGCUGGAGAUAUAUCUAAGGGGGAAGCGUAAAAUGGGAAAAAGAGGUCUUGUAGAAGUGGAAAAAAAAAAAAAUAGGAAAAAAUUUUAAUCCAAAUCUACAGAGGAAAAAUGAUCACCUCAGGAGUUUUCUUGCCUGUGGAAGAGGAAGAUGGCAGAGGAGAAGAAAAGGAGAGAGAAUGGCGGAAAAAGAGAAAAACGAAAAGCGAAGCAGAAGAAGAAGAAGAUGAAACGGAGAGAAAAAGAGAAGAAGAAUAGAUGAACAACUUGUGCCUUGUGGUCUCAAGCCCAUCACUCCGAAAAAAAAAAAUCAUGUGGCUUGGAAAAAAGAGAAGGAUAAAAGAAAUAGGAAAAACAAUAAAUGAAAGACAAAGAAAAUGGACGACAGCCUUUGCUUCACAAAGGUACAACCACACCCAAUUUUCAUCCACGCGGUCACGUGAUCUCCUCGUGUAGGACGACAACUUUUUAUCCAAUGCUGAAUUGACACAUCAGCAGCAACCACAAACCUGUUGCAAGUUUCCUAAGCACUUAGUCUACCUAAGGUUGAUUAACUAACUAUUUUGUGGCCAAACCAUUAUCCAUCUUGACCAUCUAAAUGGUGAAUUGCACUUUAAGCUUAAUGCUCAACAAAACAGAAGUUCUUAACCAUGUUAAGGAAAAAUAGAUGGAAAGGUCUUUUGUCACCUUUUGUUAGUUGUGGUAGUUAUAUAGCAGAAGGAUUACCAUUUGUUAAACUGAGUAAAAGAUUAUUUUUCAUAAAGCAAGUUCGAUGUACAUCAUAUGUAAAACAAAAGUUAUGAACAAUAAAGACUACCUUACAAUAAGACUUGGUGUACAAUUAUCAGUUCAAGCGAAUUCCACAAUUAGGUGAAGAUUUUAUCUAAGUUUCAAUACACAUCUUUAUUAGUAAACGCACAUAUCAUAUUUUAACACAUUCACGAACAUACGUAAUUGAAGAACACCAAUAGUGUAAUUCACAAGCUUACGUAAUGCGAAGCCAAGUGUAAUUGAAGAACACCAAUAGUGUUUUUAUUUAGAUGGACAUAUUGACGAAACAAGAAGUGCAUGAAGAAACGUCAUACAUUGAUUACCAAGUACACCUAAGACCACAAUAACGAUAAAAAUCUAUACUUUGUUUUCUUAUUUAUUAUUUUUCUUUUAUUAGUUAUUUUUUCCCAUCCUCCUUGAUGGAUUUCUUAGUAAGAUAGUCGAGUGAACAAGUAGGUCAUAAGAAACAUAAAUCACCAAGUACGUAUAUGGCCUGUAAUUGGCUUUUCUUAUUAUUAGUUUUUCCUUUAUUAUUCAAAAUUUCCCUCCUCCUGGGCAUGAGAUUACGGUAAUAUCGCCCCUUAUAACCGUAUUAUUCCGUGCCGGCCUUCGUAGAACUGUCUGAAAAAAUGCAUAUCCCCGAGCAAACCUAAACGUUUUGGUGCCACCAACUAUUGGAUCUUCUCUCGCCGGACUACCAACUUGUAAGUUAUAUCCUGCUCCUUGGAAUUCCAAUGUGCUACCGUUGUAUUUGAAGUUGGAGAAAAUGAGGGAAAAUAUGCCCAGUGAUCUUGAUCCAUCACGGGAUGAAGCUAUCUCAAUGCCUUGGGCCCGACCAAUAGUUGGAGAAUUGUUGCUGAUGCCUUGUGUUAUGUUAAAAUCAUUAACAAUAAUGGUUCCAAAAUUGGAGGGAGUUCUCGGCUUACCAGGGGCGCCGGCAACUGCAACACUGGUGGUAUUUGGUCCGCCCGUAAACACUUGAAGGUACACAGUAAUAUUUGUUUCCUUUCCACGGCAGCAAUAGUAAGGGUCAAGACGAUUAGCUUCUGAACAAACAAAGAUUGCUAGUAAUAGCACAAGGGAAAUUUGGAUGGAUGCUAAAGCUGAACCUUUUGCCAUUUUGUAUGUUGAAAGGCUAGCUGAAAAACAAAGAAGGAAGAAACAAAAUAGUUAGAUGGUAAAGAUAAUUUGUUCAAUGACCGUAUUUAUAGGAUGGAGGAGGUAGCAGUUGCAAAUG
rnacentral:lncRNA from 1 species